rnacentral:lncRNA from 10 species
GUAGACACCGCGCCACCCGCUCCGGGACGCCGCCCAGCGACAAGGCCGCGGGGUCAGCGUGUCUGUACCGGUGCUGCAACGGGAGGGUCGGGCGGCGACGCUCUCACUGCCGGGCCAGAAGGAGGCCUCCCGGCUCCCUCACGCUAGAAGGGAGCUGGUUACCAGAGGUUUUCAGAGACGCCAAAGUUUUGCCAGGGGCCACGCACCUUCCAGGGACCUAAGUAUCCUCAUAGCCCGAGUUAUAGGGCCUAGGCCUUCAGGUUCCAGUGUGGGGAAGACCCUUUGGGCACUGGAACUCCAGCCAACCCUCUCUUUCUCUCCCCUCUUCCAAAACUUCAAACCUUAUACUGUCACUGCCAUUUAGCCCAGGAGAAACAAGUUUCUUUGACGCCAAGUUGAGGACCCAGGCUCGACCUUAGCCUUCAGCGGGCAAAUCUGGUUGGUGGCCUGCCCAGGGCUCUGCCCCUGCUCUGGCCCAAUUCCCUUACUUUACAGCUGAGGAAACUGCAUUCCUGAGACAUACAGCGUUUCAGCUACCACACAGGUGACUUAGUGAGGCUUGAGGAGCAGAGGAAGGGGCCUAGUCCUUGAACCCCAUAGCCUUGGGUUUAGAUUCCAGUCUUACCUCACCUGUCCUAUGACUCCUCUCUGAGCCUGAGUUUCCUCUUUUGCAAAAGGGAGUAAUACUAAUCUCUCACUUGCUGGCCUGUCUUAAAUUUUUUGAGAAAGGGCCUCACUCUGUCACCCAGGCCGUAGUGCAGUGGCAUGAUCACAGCACACUACAGUCUCUAUGUCCCAGGGCCAAGGGAUCCUCCCAUCUCAGCCUCCCAAGUAGCUGGGAAUACAGGCACAUGCCACCAUGCCGGGCUAAUUUGUAAAUUUUUUGUAGAGAUGGGAUCUCCCUGUGUUGACCAGGCUGGUCUCAAACUGCUGAGUCCAAGCAGUCCUCCUGCCUCGGCCUCCCAAAGUGCUGGGAUUCCAGGCAUGAGCCCCUGCACCCUAUCCUUAAAUUCUUUUUUCAUGGUUUUAUUCAUCAUCCCAAGCUGUCUGGGCUCAAGGCGUUAGUAUCCCAUGCAAUGAGGGCCUAGAAGUUUCGUCUCCUGACAUCCUCCCCAGGCAGUCCCAUCGCUGGGUUUCAGAGGCCAUCAAGCCCAGCAGGCUUCAAAUCCCCCAACAGAGUCCCCCUUACCUGGGGCUGCCUGGGGAACUCCCAUCCCACUUCAACUUGAGCACCUUUGCCUUUGUAUUUUUAUUUAUUUACAUUUCCUGGUAAGAAUUUGUUGCAAGCACAUGAAAGAUUUUGUGGCUGAAGUAAUGUAAAACCAUUGAUCAAACCGGAAAUUGAGACACAGCCAGCGUCACACAACAGGCCAUCUGAAAGGCUGGAAUAGCAUCGAGGGAGUCUCCCUGGAACCAAGCAGCCAAGGCAGGCUAAUGGUGAAGGCCCAGGCACAGUAAUGGUCCCCUGGAGAUGGAGUCCUGCUCUGUCAUCCAUGCUGGAGUGCAGUGGCGUGAUCUCAGCUCACUGCAACCUCCGCCUCCUGGGUUCAAGUGAUUCUCCUGCCUCAGCCUCCCAAGUAGCUGGGAUUACAAGUGUGCACCAUCACACCCUGCUGAUUUUUGUAUUUUUAGUAGAGACAGGGUUUCACCAUGUUGGCCAGGCUGUUCUUGAACUCCUGGCCUAAAGCGAUCCACCCGCCUUGGCCUCCCAAAGUCCUGGGAUUACAGGCGUGAGCCACCGUACCUGACCCCUGUCCCUGAACAUUUGUCACAAUAUAUUAUGAGUGAAUGAGUAAGAACUCUAUUUUAGUGGUCACCUUCUUUGUGCUAGUCAUUAAGUUUAAGGUAUCUCGCUUAAUAUUCUCCAGAACCCUGUGAGAUAGGCAUUAUUUUAUUCUCAUGUGACAUGUAGAGAAACAGGUUCAGAAAGGGGAAGCGAAAGUCCAAAGCAGUGAAUCUGCGGUGGGUCUCCUGGCCCCAGAAUUGCAGCCUGAUGGGAAGGAAGGCCCUGCUGAGUUCCCAGAGUUAUGGCUGGGUCAUGGCAUUGGGACCCACACUGGCAGCUCCAGUUACACAGGGCUGGGCUGGCUCUAGCAGCCUUGUCUUACUUGCUCCCUGAACUGCUGCAUUGACCUGCACCAUCCUCCCUUCCCUUGCCAGCCGAGAACUGUGCUCCUCAGGUUUCCUGGGCAGGGUCCAGGGCUCUGAUGCCAAACGCAGCCUGGAAACUCUAGCUCUCAGCAUGCCAGGAUGCGGGCACCCAAGUGAGGCCGCCUGGGAUGCAGGAAGCUUAGUCCAGGCCUGGGCAUGCCUCUGUUCCAUCUCCCCUCAAGCAGGACCAGCUACUUAAUCUGCGGGACCCAGAGCAGAAUGAAAAUGUGGGCCCCUCAUUCAAAAAUUUAAAAUUUCCAACAAAAGAAUGAAAAAAUAAGAAAAAAUUAAGAAUUUCAAGAUGGUGAUAGCAGAGUAUUUAACACUUCAAAUCAUGACCCUUACUGUCCAGGUCACAUGCCCACAAAGUCAGCCCUGUCGUCAGGCCUUGGUUUCCUUGUCUGUCAAGUGGGAGAAUGGUAGCCACUGGCCAAAAGGGUGAGGGUGAGAAUGAGGUGGGAGCUGGUGGUAAGAGGUCCAGUGAACAGCAUGAGGAUGAGGUAAGAGUCUCCAAGUUCAUGAUUUGUUAUCUGGGUCUCAGCACCGGGUGGCAGGCCAAACUCCUUGCCAGGAGUUUGAUUGCUUACAACAGCUCUUUUUCACAGAACCAAAAAACUAAAAAUCCAUGAAGCAAAGUAACUUGCUCAGGGUCACACAGAGACUCAGUGGGGGAAGCCAAGAUCAGAGUUCUGGCCUGGCUCUCUUCGAAGCUGGUGCUUUUUGUGACCCAGGCAGGAGAGAGAGAAGCGCAGGAGGGAGGUGGGAUGGGGACAGGCUGCUCAGGACAAAGAGGGCCACUGUGCAGACACAAAGACCUGACCACAGAGGCCCCUCUGGGGGCUGGGACAGACAAAUGGAUGGAGCCCUGUGACUCUAUCUGUGGUGACUGGGGUAGCUGCCAGGAGCUGCCUCCUAGACCCUACCUGGUUGUGAUGAGGGUUGGGGAGGGUGUUGGUGUGCAGGAACCAGGAAAUGGGUCAGGGAGGAGAAACAAACUCAGAGAUGGGCCCCUUCCCCACUCCCCAGGCCUCUGACCCCAUCUCCCCCUAGCUCCUCCUGGGCAGCCUGCCAGCUUAUGGAAUCUCCCACAAACCAUCCACCGCCCCACAUUCCUCCUUCUCAGUGAGGGUGAGGCUCAGGCAACUCACUGUCUGGCAGUCCCAGCCUCACAAUACUUCUGACCCUUCCCCAUCACCAGUGGCAGGAUGAAGCAUAUGCCCUCGGCGCAGUGUCCUUCAGGGCCCUGUGUGACCUGCCCUGCUGACCUUUCUUCACUCACCUGUCCCCACUCCUCCUCAGCCUUCUACGCUGCAGUCACAUGGAACGUCCCACCAUUCUCCAAACACUCUGUCCUUUCAUACACACACCCCCAUGUUGGCUCAUGCUUUUCCUUCUUCCUGGGGGGCUGUUUCCCCUGCUCCAGUAGACUGAAAUCCCAUUUCUCCUCCAUGAACCAGCUCAAAUGCCACCUCCAGUAGCCAGCUUUCCUCCAUGCCCACAGUUGGGUUUAGCUUCGCUCAUUAACCUGUUAAUCUACACAUGUUGGGUUCACCCACUCUAGCGGUGCUCCUCCCACGCUGGCUUGUGUUGUAGUUGUUCCAAUCCACAAAGCCUACCUGGAAGAGGGGACCUUUGAGCUGAGCCUUACAGGACAGGUGGACUUCACUAGUGAAUGUCAGUGGUAAGAAGUGACAGGAGCUCAAAGAAUCAGGGAUAUCAGCCCUAUCUCCAAAAUUUUAUCUGCAUCAGCCAGGUUGCUGAGUUCAAAUAGCAAGGAGUCUAUAGUUCAGAAUGGCAGGAGUUGAGUGUGCAGGGACACUGUCAAGGGAUAAAGUUAAGAGGUUCACCAGGGCCAAGCCACGAAGGGUUUUAUAAUGCCAUACUAAGGAAUUUUUUUGCUUGCUUGUUUAAAACACAUUUGAAUUUAUUUCUCAGCUCUAUAGUUUACUAAGUAAUUAAGUUCUGGCUUUUAUCUUUACUAUUUUCUCCCUCUUAAUUACCUUGGGUAGCUUUUCUGUUCUUUUUCUACAAGCUUAUUAAAGUGAAUACUUAGGCUGGGUGCGGUGGCUCAUGCCUGUAAUCCUAGCACUUUGGGAGGCCGAGGUGGGUGGAUCACUUGAGGCCAGGAGUUUGACUGGCCUGGCCAACAUGAUGAAACCCCGUCCCUACUAAAAAUACAAAAAUUAGCCGGUCAUGGUGGCACACGCUUGUAAUUCCAGCUACUCGGGAGGCUGAGGCGUGAAAAUCACUUGAACCCAGGAGUUGGAGGUUGCAGUGAGCCAAGAUCAUGCCGCUGUACUCCAGCCUGAGUGACAGAGCAAGACUCUGUCUCAAAAUAAAUAAAUAAAUAAAUAAAUAAAUGUGAAUACCUAUUUUGUUGUCAUUCUUUUUCAAUAAUGUAAGCAUUUUUAAGGCUAUCAUUUCCCUCUGAAUUCAGCU